GGGCCCGCACAAGCGGUGGAGCAUGUGGUUUAAUUCGAUGCAACGCGAAGAACCUUACCAGGGCUUGACAUACUACGAAUUUUCUUGAAAGAGAAAAGUGCCUUCGGGAAUGUAGAUACAGGUGGUGCAUGGCUGUCGUCAGCUCGUGUCGUGAGAUGUUGGGUUAAGUCCCGCAACGAGCGCAACCCUUAUUUUUAGUUACCAAUUCGUUGGGUUCUCUAGAAAGACUGCCGGUGACAAACCGGAGGAAGGUGAGGAUGACGUCAAGUCAGCAUGCCCCUUAUGUCCUGGGCUACACACGUGCUACAAUGGUUAAGACAAAGAGUUGCGAGCUUGUAAAAGUCAGCUAAUCUCGUAAACUUAGCCUAAGUUCAGAUUGUAGGCUGCAACUCGCCUGCAUGAAGUUGGAAUCGCUAGUAAUCG
rnacentral:rRNA from 1 species